rnacentral:rRNA from 2 species
GUAGUCAUAUGCUUGUCUCAAAGAUUAAGCCAUGCAUGUCUAAGUAUAAGCACUUUGUACUGUGAAACUGCGAAUGGCUCAUUAAAUCAGUUAUCGUUUAUUUGAUAGUACCCUACUACAUGGAUACCUGUGGUAAUUCUAGAGCUAAUACAUGCGCAAAACCCCGACUUCGGAAGGGGUGUAUUUAUUAGAUAAAAAACCAAUGCCCUUCGGGGCUCCUUGGUGAUUCAUAAUAACUUAACGAAUCGCAUGGCCUUGCGCCGGCGAUGGUUCAUUCAAAUUUCUGCCCUAUCAACUUUCGAUGGUAGGAUAGUGGCCUACCAUGGUGGCAACGGGUAACGGGGAAU